GUACGCGUCACGCAACGACAGGUGUGCUUCUUUGAGUGGCUUUAUAUUGUAGUUUUUUUUUGGCUAUAUAUUGUUUCUAAGGAGGAACGUUACCAAUUUUUAAAUUUACGUUCCCUUGUAAAAACUUCACUCUGGGGGCCUUUUUUUAAAUCUUGUUGCCACUCAAAAGGAUUAGUUCAGCAUAAACAUGACCUUAUUAUUGUAAAUAACCGUCUCAGCUCUUCAAUUGAGCAAAGAACAUAACACGAACGUCAGGAGAGCGUGUAGCUAAUACAGUCAGAAUGUUCUUACCGAUGGUGUGUGCCGAUUUUGAUACAUAAAUUGUAAAGAUAAAGAGAUAAAUUAGGCGAGAACACCUGUGAGGCAGAUAAAUUCGAAUCAUCUACUAUUGCGUUUGUCACAAUGUGAGACACUUUGCACUUGAGAUAAGCUAUCAAUUUGUAGACCUCUACGAUAGAAAAUUAAAGCUUAACUAUUUGGGAUAUA